UACAGAGGUCUCAAGCGUUGUUCGGAUUCAUUGGGCGUAAAGGGCGCGUAGGCGGUCGUGACAAGUCAUUUGUGAAAUCUCCGGGCUUAACUCGGAACGGUCAAGUGAUACUGUCGGACUAGAGUACAGAAGGGGCAACUGGAAUUCUCGGUGUAGCGGUGAAAUGCGUAGAUAUCGAGAGGAACACCUGCGGCGAAGGCGGGUUGCUGGGCUGAUACUGACGCUGAGGCGCGAAAGCCAGGGGAGCGAACGGG
rnacentral:rRNA from 1 species